AUUGAACGCUGGCGGCAGGCCUAACACAUGCAAGUCGAGCGAGCGGCGGACGGGUGAGUAAUGUAUGGGGACUGCCCGAUAGAGGGGGAUAACUACUGGAAACGGUGGCUAAUACCGCAUACUGUCGGAUAACCCAUAUGGGAUUAGCUAGUAGGUAAGGUAAUGGCUUACCUAGGCGACGAUCCCUAGCUGGUCUGAGAGGAUGAUCAGCCAAACGGGGACUGAGACACGGCCCAGAAUCCUACGGAGGAAGCAGGGGGGAAUAUUGAAGAAGGGGGUCAAGCCUGAUGCAGCCAUGCGGCGGGUAGGAAGAGGGCCCUAGGGUUGUAAAGUACUUUCAGUCGGGAGGCGUUACCGAAAGAAGAAGCACCGGCUAACGCAGUGCCAGCCGCCGCGGUAAUAC
rnacentral:rRNA from 1 species